AACGAACGCUGGCGGCGUGGAUAAGACAUGCAAGUCGAACGGGACAGACCGAGUAGCAAUAUUUGGAAUGUUCAGUGGCGAACGGGUGCGUAACACGUGGAAACAUUCCGGAAAGCGGGGAAUAGCCCAGGGAAACUUGGAUUAAUACCGCAUGUGGCCGCAAGGCUAAAGACGGGGACCGCAAGGCCUGUCACUUUCCGAUUGGUCCGCGGCCUAUCAGCUAGUUGGCGGGGUAAUGGCCCACCAAGGGUACGACGGGUAGCUGGUCUUAGAGGACGACCAGCCACAAUGGAACUGAGACACGGUCCAGACACCUACGGGUGGCAGCAGUCGAGAAUCUUUCACAAUGGGGGCAACCCUGAUGGAGCGACGCCGCGUGGAGGAUAAGGUCUUCGGAUUGUAAACUCCUGUCAUGCGAGAACAAGGUACUCAGGCUAGUAACCUGAUUGUUUGAUGGUACCGCAAGAGGAAGAGACGGCUAACUCUGUGCCAGCCGCCGCCGUAACAC
rnacentral:rRNA from 1 species